UAGAGAAAUUCCUGUUUCAAGCGCUCACAACCUAUCGGUUGUCUAAAAGGCAAAGCUAGGGGGCUAAGGAGCCAUAGGCUAAUACGACAAAAGCCCAUCUCUUUGUUUCCAGGCUCUGUUCGGGGUCUGUAGCUCAGUUGGUUAGAGCACACGCUUGAUAAGCGUGGGGUCGGUGGUUCAAAUCCACCCAGACCCACCAACUAACGGGGGUGUAGCUCAGUUGGGAGAGCACCUGCUUUGCAAGCAGGGGGUCAUCGGUUCGAUCCCGUUCACCUCCACCAAUUCGGAAAUCGGAAUUCGCAUGAAUUCAGUUAGAAAGUAGAAGUAAACGAUAACGUUUACUUCUGGUUUUUACCAGCGGCUGUACUUCGAGAAUGGAAUAGAAAGUAUCCGGGUGUUUAUAUUAUCACUCCCUGGUUCUUUGCAAAACUGUUUCUCGACGUUCUUUAAAAAUUUGGAAGAAGUAAAGUAUUUCAUAUUCAAUGAAUACGUGCGUCCUUAAUUGGAUCACGUACUACGGGGAUGUGAAAUAAUGGGUUAGAUUGUAUCGACUCAUCGCGUUUUUAGUCGGACGCGAUGUGAGCAAACAACUAUGACCAGAAGGUUUGGAAGAUAAAACGAAGACUCCGGGUUUCAGGCCGGCUUCCCGAUUGUUUCCGAAGCCCUUAAGGUUAUAG
rnacentral:tRNA from 1 species